AGGAAUUUAGGUUAACUAAGACCGAGAGCCUUCAAAGCUCUAAGCAAAUAACAACUAUUUAAUUCCUG
rnacentral:tRNA from 1 species